ensembl:miRNA Gm25249 predicted gene, 25249
GUGACCUGUGUGUAUUUAUUUACUUAUUUGUGUGUGUGAUUGUGCAUGCAUAUACACACAGAUGCGUGCA